rnacentral:lncRNA from 10 species
GGCAGUGGUAUGCUUAAAAAGGACAGAAAAUAGAAUCACAUAAAAUACUGAGUUGAAACCUCAAAAGCCAGAAAAAUGAUAGAAAAUAUUAUUUAAAAAUUACUUUAUAAUAUCUUCCAAAAUGUAAAGUAGCUAACCAUAAACUUAAUAAGAAAUGCAUGAUACAAAAAUGAAGAAAACUACAAUGACUUCCUGAGGGUAAUAAAAGGAGAAUUGAUUCAAUGGAAAGUCAGACCAUGGUUUUGGACAGGAAAAGUAUUUUUAAAAUUUUAGUUCUUCUUAAAUUGAUCCGUUUUAAUACCAUUUUUGUUGGUUUGUAUUUUCCAAUUUUCCUUCAAGAAAUAGGCAUUAAUUUUGUAAUAGAAGCAAAUUAUAAACUUCUUUGCAAAUAUAUUUUACUACAAUUAUUAUGGCUGUGAUUAAAGUGAAAAUUGAAGAACCUUGUCCUGUUCUGUUCACACAUUCCCUGGAACCCUAGAUUAAUCCAUAAAUUAAAUUUCAGAAUUUGCCUCUUCUGAGGAUUGUUAUUAUUGACAAUAGGAUAAACAAAGACUUUUGAAAUGAAUUAACUAGAAGAGACACGAGCUUUAUAUUCAUUUUACAGUGUGCCAUGUACAACCAACAGGGCCCUCCAAAUAUUUAAAUUUAGUUUUUGCACUUAUUGCUGUGUGACCUUGGGCAAAUCACUGACCCUUCUGAUGUCUCAUAUUCUUUCUUUAUCUGAAAAUUGGAUAAAAAUAUACCACCUGCCUGCCCUAUGCGACUGUUUGAAGAAUUAGGUGAAACAAUGACAUGAGAAGGUUUUAUAAACCAGUUAAGAGCUACAUAGAGGAGAGAUAUUAUCUCAGUCUUUUUUUUUUCUUUGCACUUUUCUCAUCCAUUACAUAUUUCUUGUGAUUUAAGAGAUGCCACAUGCCUGGUAUUUUCAAAGUAAAUGCAUCUCAAAACCUGGGCAGACAUGCUCUUCAUCUGCCCAAAUAGCACCAUUCCUGAUAUUAACAGCCCAAGAUGGACUUAAAUGUUGAAGAAUCAUCCAGUGUUCUAUUUUCCUGCUGCCUGCUGAGUCGGCUUUGAAGCUCGGGCUGCAGAACGGAAUAAGAUAAAAUGAAAUAAAAAGCUUGUGUGUAUUAAGAUGGCUUUUCCUCUUAUAUUUCUAAAAACGCUGAAUGCUUAUGCCGGAGUUUAGGCAAACACAAUACUGAUUAUUUACAUGGCAUAAUGGAAGUAAACACUCAAGGAGAAAGAGACUUGAUGCUUUUACUCAGCAUGAUAUAAACCAUUAUCUCAUGUUUUCUAUGGAAAGCAGUCUCAGCCGAGAAAUUUGGUAACUCAGUAGGCUAUUAAUAGGAUAUGGAAUGUGAUUACUCCUUUUGGAUUACUUCAAUAUGUAAUUACUUUUAGGAGCUAGUAGAAAGAAAGUCUAUUAAAUGAUAAUUAUAGGACUGUAUUUGCUUUAAGUUUCUGUAAUAGCUUUAAACAUGGGAGUUUUCAUUAACUGUUUGCCAUAGUUAAUAAAGUAAUUUUUCUUAAAAAGUAGCAAUUUCCUGCAAAAAUAGUAGCUCAACAGUGGUAUUAGUCUCUUAUAGGAGAGGGCAGGGGAGAUGAAUUGUUCAGUAAAUUGGCUCAUCUAGGGUUAUAUAAUCUCCUUGAAAAAUAUAGAUGGUAUCCGCAAAGUAUUGUGACAAAGUAAAAUACUUAUAACUCCCUAGAGAACAAUGUGUCUUAGUAUAAUGUUUUCAGAGGUUAACAGCAACUAAAUAUGAUUGCACAUAUAAAAAGAAAAUGUACAGGGCAGGUGAUGGAGGCAAAGUUAUCACAGCAGGGAAAGCUUAGUAAAGGUCCUGUUUGUAGGUGUCCCAUGAUAAACAGUAAUAUUGCUAGGAAUACAGCCCCAGGAGUUAGACCUCCAGUGUAAGUUGAGAAUUGCAUCAACACAGAUAGAAGAUUGACCACAAAUAUUUGAGAAGCUAGACAAAAGAUGGUGGCUAAUAGUCAUAUGAGAACAUCUGAGUUUUCUGGGCAACCGAAUCAAUCUCUUCACUAUUGUUAAAACUAAAUCCAUUAUGCAAUAUAUUGUUACAAGCAUUUCUUUGUCAGAAAACUGAUAUAAGCCUAAGCUGAAAAAAUAUAGCAGUCUGUCAAUUCAA